rnacentral:lncRNA from 1 species
ACCACUAAAAUAUAUGUUUUACUUACAAACAAGAAUAAGACAUCUCUAGAGUCAAUUUCUAUUCGAAUAACAACCACCCUAAAAGCAAAUUUUCUUCCGGUAACUUGUGCACUGAUGAACCAUAUUGCCAGCUAUGUUGGUUUACUCAUGCGCAUCCUACAAGAAAAAGAUAAAUCAUAAUCAUUUCUUUUAAUAAAUAAAAACUAUAAAGUACGCAAGUACAUGCCAAAAGAUGGAAGUUAUUUGAUACUAGGAACAAGGAUAAAAGUAUGAAUCAUGUAGCGGAGGAUAAUCAGGUAGGAGAAGUUCCCAACGUUGACAAAGGUCCUAUGAAGCUAGCAGUAGUAAGUAAUGAAGCACAAAAUCAAUUUUCAGAUAAGGUCAAUGACAUGGGUGAUGCAGGGCAAAGUCGUGUAGUGGCUAGGAGUGAUGCUGUGGGUGUUAGUGUUUCAGCUGCACCACAUGCUGCAAUUCCAGUUGUGCCUAUAGAAGAGAAGUUGAAGUUGGACAAGGGACCUCCUAAACCCUCUAGAGAUGUCCCUGCCUCUGCUAUAUUUACACGAAUGUACCUAGCUACUACUGGCGCAUUAAAAGCUGCUGCAGAUCGAUCUACAGGUAAUGCACCUCAUGUGCAGGAUGGUGAGGAGUUUGGUCGAGUAGCAUUAAUGUUUGAUGGAAAAAGGGAAAAUAUGAUCAAAAAACCUGCUCCUGCAAAUCCAGAAGUUGGUACUGUUUCAUUAGAAGUAGGUGCAAACCUACAACUACUGAUUGCGUUACUAAAGGUGCAAAUAUCAAAGGUGCUGCUGGAUUGCAUGAGAAGGGAGAGGACUAUGAAAGAGUACAAUUUUCCAGGAGUAAUAGUGGUGCUAAUGAUCCAAAGAAUGUGGCAAAGGUUUGGUCAGUUGUAUCACAUGAUAAAAGGGCUGCGAUAGAUCUUAAAAAGCAGGAAGUUGCAUCAGAAGACAUUAGGUGUGCUAAUGCUUUUGAUGCAUUGGCCAUUGAACAAGAAGGUAGAGAGUUUGAUCAUACUAAGAAAUUGGGACUGGUAUGCAGUGCAACACUAAAUCAGAAAUCACAAGAUACUAAUGUUCAAUUACAUGGCGCAACAAACAGUUCAGUUUCAAGAAGCAGCACAAAUCUUGGUCAAGCACUUGCUAAUGUGAAUGAGAUCGAAUGGAAGGCUACUGAUGCAAAUAUGCAACUUAUGGCUCUAGAUCAAAAUGAAGGGAAGGUAACCCCUACAAUUCACUUCUCCAGUCCUCAGGUGGAGAAAAUUAUCAAACAUUCACAGAUCGAAAUGAUGAUGUAUGCCAAUCCUAUGUUCAAGCAACCAUUGGUCACCUUGAACACAUCGGUGUAUGACAUUCCCUCUCAAUCUUGUGAGUCAAUUGGUGAG